rnacentral:rRNA from 1 species
GAUGAACGCUGGCGGCGUGCCUAACACAUGCAAGUCGAGCGGUAUAUGGUGGAAUGAAACUUCGGUCGAGUGAAGCCAUAGAGAGCGGCGGACGGGUGAGUAACGCGUAGGCAACCUGCCCCAUACAGAGGGAUAGCCUCGGGAAACCGGGAUUAAAACCUCAUAACGCGAGGAGUUCACAUGGACUUCUCGCCAAAGAUUCAUCGGUAUGGGAUGGGCCUGCGUCUGAUUAGCUAGUUGGUGAGGUAACGGCUCACCAAGGCGACGAUCAGUAGCCGACCUGAGAGGGUGAUCGGCCACAUUGGAACUGAGACACGGUCCAGACUCCUACGGGAGGCAGCAGUGGGGAAUAUUGCACAAUGGGCGAAAGCCUGAUGCAGCAACGCCGCGUGAGCGAUGAA